UUUUUUGGUGUUAUAAAAUUGUUUCACAUGAAAGAAAAAAAAAACACUCUUGCCGCCUUACUAUUUGAAUUUUCAAUGUCGCCACUGUUGGUUUCCAAAUGAUUCAUAAAGUCUUUCAAUGAGAAACACUACGCAAAUGUGAAUCAUCAGCUUACGAGAAUGACUGGAAAUAGAAGUUCUCUUGUGAAACUGAGGGUUUGAAACGAGGUUGUGUUUACCUGAGUUAAGGAGUGCAACUUGACGUACUACUUGAGUAGGCUUGAAUGCGUCUGAUUCAUUACGGGUAGUUUUAAAGCACAAAAUUUGUGUGAAGGAAUUUGCGUUGAUGUCGUACAGUUUGUGUUGAAGGAAAUAUUUUUUUGAGGAAGACAUACUACCGUGGAUUUUAUCUGAG